AAUCCAAUUGGGACUGUAAGCAUAUCCGUCCCCGGGACUGUGAAUACACCCGUCCCUGCCCCGUUGCGACUGUCCAGCUACCUCCACACUAACUGGUCCGUGGAGAGCAAGUCCAACUGGCAUGAGCGACACCAACGCGAAAGCACAAAGCCCGUCUCCGGAGUGGCACUCGUGGGCGCUACCCAACCGAGUAUGCAGCGUAUCUCUGUCGAGCUCAAUCAGGCUCUCAAUAGCCAAAGUCAAGUAACCGACUCAAACUGGUCUAACAACCAACAGGUAACGUGCCCUCGGCACAAUCUGACGCCAAAAAGGCGAUACGGGUCCACCGUCAACUCUGACGGCACCCAACAGUCCGGAACAACCUGAACGACCCUGUAAAAAUUCACUCGGCAUACCAGCACGAGCGUAAAUGUAUUCUAAACUACCUGGAGUACUCGUCUUGAGGAUACUGCGACAGUACAAUUUUAUAACGGCUCCUAGAGCUAAAUCAGGCAGUUUAAACAGGUGACAGGUCCAAAUCGCAGGUUUUCUCCUAAUUCAAUUUCCAAGUCCAACAUGUAUAACCUACUUAAUUUAUUACCACAUGCUCCAAAUUCAGAUUUGCAAUCUAUCAUAUAAUCCAUGAAUUCGAGCUAGAAUAGAUUAUCAAAAAUCGAGAUCUAUACAUGUCGACGAUUAUGAACUUAGGAGUCAAAACCGAUGUAACCCACCUCGCACGCUAAUCCCUGGCAGCACGGAACCCCCUCGGCUGCGACACCACCUGCUGGAUCGACCAAAAACGCCCGAGUCUCGAAAUCGAGCUAACUCCAAACUAAAAACACCAAAAAUCCUCAAUUCAGUCCAAAAUCCACAGCAGCAGAGAAGAGAAGGAUUUCGACCAAGCUAACCUUCACCAAAAUUCGCAAGUAAGGGCUUCGUGGAUUCCUCUCGAAGUCCCGAAUCCAACGAACCAAGUCUCGUCGCAAUCCGAUGCUCCUACGUCGAGAACGAGCUGAAAUACUAACAGUCGACGACAAGAUCCUGCGAAUCAGCACUUAGGCUCGAAUUAAUGAUACCCGAAGUAUGCGCAGCAAUUCCACAGAGCACUCACCUCGAUAGAUCCUCAAGAGUCGGCGCAAUGUCGAGGACGACGGAAAUCCACGCUCGCCCGAGCUCCUCACAGCACCAAGACGACACAACGUGCGCCCGAACGGCUCCGCGGCACCACGUCGGCGACGAAACUCCACCCGAGCUCCACCUUGCUCACAAUCGGCUCUAGAGAGAGAGAGGGAGAGAACCAAGAGCAAAACUCUCUCUCUCAGUCUCACUCUACAAGUAAAUAAGCUGGGGAGAGGAGGGUGAUACGAACGAGGUAGAAAAAGACCAAAACACCCCCUCACCUAUCCUGGUGUACCGGUACACGGGAUCGCGUACCGGUACAGGAGGCCAACCCGAGAGCAGUACGUGCUCAACC
rnacentral:lncRNA from 1 species